UACGUAGGGGGCAAGCGUUGGUCCGGAUUCAUUGGGCGUAAAGAGCGUGAUAGGCGGCCAGGUAGGUCGGUUGUGAAAACUGGAGGCUCAACCUUCAGAGGUCGACCGAAACCAUCUGGCUAGAGUCCGGGAGAGGAGAGUGGAAUUCCUGGUGUAGCGGUGAAAUGCGCAGAUAUCAGGAAGAACACCGGUGGCGAAGGCGGCUCACUGGCCCGGUACUGACGCUGAGGAGCGAAAGCGUGGGGAGCGAACAGG
rnacentral:rRNA from 1 species